rnacentral:rRNA from 1 species
AUGGGUGUUGGCUCGAACAAUUCGCAUUGGUCUCAAACCAAUGACAUGCAUUUUGAAGACCAUGAGUUCGAGGUGGACGAGGAUGAUUAGGGCAUUGUCGACGCACCGAAAGGAAGAGUGGGCAAUUACUCCAACGCCGAGGACAUCUUAAUAUGCAAUACUUGGUUGCAAGUGUCUAGGGAUCCAUCCAUUGGAGGUGAUCAAAGUAGAGAUGCUUAUUGGCUCCAGAUGAAAGAACACUUUGAUCUUCGCAACGUGAGUGGAAUUGACCGCUCGGCACGAUCACUUCGCGGUCUUUCGUUUGUGUCAUAA